rnacentral:rRNA from 1 species
CCAAUAGCGUAUAUUAAAGUUGUUGCAGUUAAAAAGCUCGUAGUUGAAUUUCGGAAUCAAUAUGUUGGUCGUGCCUUGGUACGUACUGGCGUCAUUGGUUUCUACCUUCUGAAGAACCUCGAUGUCAUUAAUUUGGUGUCUUGGGGAAUCAGGACUGUUACUUUGAAAAAAUUAGAGUGUUUAAAGCAGGCUCACGCUUGAAUACAUUAGCAUGGAAUAAUGAAAUAGGACGUUUGAUUCUAUUUUGUUGGUUUCUAGGAUCGACGUAAUGAUUAAUAGGGAUAGUUGGGGGCAUUAGUAUUCAAUUGUCAGAGGUGAAAUUCUUGGAUUUAUUGAAGACUAACUACUGCGAAAGCAUUUGCCAAGGAUGUUUUCAUUAAUCAAGAACGAAGGUUAGGGGAUCGAAGACGAUCAGAUACCGUCGUAGUCUUAACCAUAAACUAUGCCGACUAGGGAUCGGAUGAUGUUAAUUUUUUAAUGACUCAUUCGGCGCCUUAC